UACGGAGGGGGCUAGCGUUGUUCGGAAUUACUGGGCGUAAAGCGCACGUAGGCGGCUUUGUAAGUUAGAGGUGAAAGCCCUGGGCUCAACCCAGGAAGUGCACUCGAUACUGCCUAGCUAGAGUCCCGGAGAGGUUGGUGGAACUCUCGGUGUAGAGGUGAAAUUCGUAGAUAUCGAGAAGAACACCGGUGGCGAAGGCGGCCAACUGGACGGUGACUGACACUGAGACGCGAAAGCGUGGGGAGCAAACAGG
rnacentral:rRNA from 1 species